rnacentral:rRNA from 1 species
GCAUAUCAAUAAGCGGAGGAAAAGAAACCAACAGGGAUUGCCCCAGUAACGGCGAGUGAAGCGGCAACAGCUCAAAUUUGAAAUCUGGUCCCUAGGGCCCGAGUUGUAAUUUGUAGAGGAUGCUUUUGGUGAGGUGCCGCCCGAGUUCCCUGGAACGGGACGCCACAGAGGGUGAGAGCCCCGUCUGGCUGGCCGCCGAGCCUCUGUAAAGCUCCUUCGACGAGUCGAGUAGUUUGGGAAUGCUGCUCAAAAUGGGAGGUAUAUGUCUUCUAAAGCUAAAUAUUGGCCAGAGACCGAUAGCGCACAAGUAGAGUGAUCGAAAGAUGAAAAGCACCUUGAAAAGAGGGUUAAAUAGUACGUGAAAUUGUUGAAAGGGAAGCGCUUGUGACCAGACUUGGGCGCGGCGGAUCAUCCGGGGUUCUCUCCGGUGCACUUCGCCGCGUCUAGGCCAGCAUCAGUUCGUCGCGGGGGAAAAAGGCUUCGGGAACGUGGCUCCUCCGGGAGUGUUAUAGCCCGUUGCAUAAUACCCUGCGGUGGACUGAGGACCGCGCAUCUGCAAGGAUGCUGGCGUAAUGGUCACCAGCGACCCGUCUUGAAACACGGACCAAGGAGUCGUCUUCGUAUGCGAGUGUUCGGGUGUCAAACCCCUACGCGUAAUGAAAGUGAACGCAGGUGAGAGCUUCGGCGCAUCAUCGACCGAUCCUGAUGUUCUCGGAUGGAUUUGAGUAAGAGCAUACGGGGCCGGACCCGAAAGAAGGUGAACUAUGCCUGUAUAGGGUGAAGCCAGAGGAAACUCUGGUGGAGGCUCGCAGCGGUUCUGACGUGCAAAUCGAUCGUCAAAUAUGGGCAUGGGGGCGAAAGACUAAUCGAACCUUCUAGUAGCUGGUUUCCGCCG